UCCGGUUUGUCACCGGCAGUCCCAUUAGAGUGCUCAACUAAAUGUGGCAACUAAGGGCGAGGGUUGCGCUCGUUGCGGGACUUAACCCAACAUCUCACGACACGAGCUGACGACAGCCAUGCAGCACCUGUGUUCCCGCCAGCCGAACUGAAGGGUUCCAUCUCUGGAGCCCAUACGGGACAUGUCAAGGGCUGGUAAGGUUCUGCGCGUUGCUUCGAAUUGAACCACAUGCUCCACCGCUUGUGCGGGCCCCCGUCAAUUUCUUUGAGUUUUAAUCUUGCGACCGUACUCCCCAGGCGGGAUACUUAACGCGUUAGCUACGUCACUAGAGGGGUCAAUACCUCUAACAACAAGUAUCCAUCGUUUACGGCGUGGACUAC
rnacentral:misc_RNA from 1 species